rnacentral:rRNA from 1 species
UUGUAGCCUGCUAUGGUAUAACUUAGUGGCAGACGGGUGAGUAAUAUAUAGGAAUCUACCUAGUAGUACGGAAUAAUUGUUGGAAACGGCAACUAAUACCGUAUACGCCCUACGGGGGAAAAAUUUAUUGCUAUUAGAUGAGCCUAUAUUAGAUUAGCUAGUUGGUGGAGUAAUAGCCUACCAAGGCAAUGAUCUAUAGCUGAUCUGAGAGGAUGAUCAGCCACACUGGAACUGAGAUACGGUCUAGACUCCUACGGGAGGCAGCAGUGGGGAAUAUUGGACAAUGGGCGAAAGCCUGAUCCAGCCAUGCCGCAUGAGUGAAGAAGGCCUUUGGGUUGUAAAGCUCUUUUAGUGAGGAAGAUAAUGACGGUACUCACAGAAGAAGUCCUGGCUAACUCCGUGCCAGCAGCCGCGGUAAUACAGAGAGGGCUAGCGUUAUUCGGAAUUAUUGGGCGUAAAGGGCGCGUAGGCUGGUUAGUAAGUUAAAAGUGAAAUCCCGAGGCUUAACCUUGGAACUGCUUUUAAAACUGCUAACCUAGAGAUUGAAAGAGGAUAGAGGAAUUCCUAGUGUAGAGGUGAAAUUCGUAAAUAUUAGGAGGAACACCAGUGGCGAAGGCGUCUAUCUGGUUUAAAUCUGACGCUGAGGCGCGAAGGCGUGGGGAGCAAACAGGAUCAGAUACCCUGGUAGUCCACGCUGUAAACGAUGAAUGUUAAAUAUGGGAAGUUUACUUUCUGUAUUACAGCUAACGCGUUAAACAUUCCGCCUGGGGACUACGGUCGCAAGAUUAAAACUCAAAGGAAUUGACGGGGACCCGCACAAGCGGUGGAGCAUGUGGUUUAAUUCGAUGCAACGCGAAAAACCUUACCACUCCUUGACAUGAAAAUCAUACCUAUUC